rnacentral:rRNA from 1 species
UACGUAGGGUGCAAGCGUUGUCCGGAAUUAUUGGGCGUAAAGAGCUCGUAGGCGGUCUGUCGCGUCUGCUGUGAAAAUCCAGGGCUCAACCCUGGACCUGCAGUGGGUACGGGCAGACUAGAGUGCGGUAGGGAGAUCGGAAUUCCUGGUGUAGCGGUGAAAUGCGCAGAUAUCAGGAGGAACACCGGGUGGCGAAGGCGACUCCUGGCCUGUUCUUGACGUGGAGGCGCGAAAGCUAGGGGAGCAAACGGG